rnacentral:rRNA from 1 species
UGCAAGUCGAACGGGGACUUCGGUCCUAGUGGCGAACGGUCGCGUAACACGUAAGCAACCUGCCCUGAAGUGGGGGACAACAUCCCGAAAGGGGUGCUAAUACCGCAUGUGGUCACGAGUCGGCAUCGGCUUGUGUCUAAAGAUUUAUCGCUUCAGGAUGGGCUUGCGGCCUAUCAGGUAGUUGGUGGGGUAAUGGCCUACCAAGCCGACGACGGGUAGCUGGUCUGAGAGGACGAUCAGCCGGAUUGGGACUGAGAUACGGCCCAGACUCCUACGGGGGGCAGCAAUUAGGAAUCUUGCGCAAUGGGGGAAACCCUGACGCAGCGACGUCGCGUGAAGGAUGAAGGCCUUCGGGUCGUAAACUUCUUUUGAGUGGGAAGAAAUUUGACGGUACCACUCGAAUAAGCCCCGGCUAACUACGUGCCAGCAGCCGCGGUAAUACGUAGGGGGCGAGCGUUGUCCGAAGUUACUGGGCGUAAAGCGCGCGUAGGCGGUUAUUCAAGUCUGGGGUGAAAGGUUCAGCGCUCAACGUGAACAGUGCCUUGGAUACUGGAUGACUUGAGUCUGGGAGGGGGAAGGGGAAUUCCUGGUGUAGCGGUGAAAUGCGUAGAUAUCAGGAGGAACACCGGUGGCGAAGGCGCCUUCCUGGCCUAAGACUGACGCUGAGGUGCGAAAGCGUGGGGAGCAAACGGGAUUAGAU